rnacentral:rRNA from 1 species
UACGGAGGGAGCUAGCGUUGUUCGGAAUUACUGGGCGUAAAGCGCGCGUAGGCGGCUUUGUAAGUUAGAGGUGAAAGCCCGGAGCUCAACUCCGGAACUGCCUUUAAAACUGCAUCGCUUGAAUCCAGGAGAGGUGAGUGGAAUUCCGAGUGUAGAGGUGAAAUUCGUAGAUAUGGGGAGGAACACCGGUGGCGAAGGCGGGUCUCUGGACAGUUCCUGACGCUGAGGCACGAAGGUCAGGGGAGCAAACGGG